UAAAUAUUGUAAAUGAAAACGGAUUGCCAUACAUUGGUCAUGCUACUUACAUACAAGAAUAUUUUGACGAUACUGAUUUUCUGUAUAAAGAUCCCCAUUCCCAUUGCAAUACAAGACCAGACAAGUACGCGGGCGAACACAUUGUUGGAUGACGCAGAUGACAUACAGAAACAGUUGGACAAUGAAGCGCGCGACAGAAUGUUAAAACCGACAACAGUGUGGGUUUUUCGCCUACCGACGGAAACACCGGAACUCAACAUGGCGCUAAUAAAAAAAAGAUUGCUU